rnacentral:rRNA from 1 species
CCUACGGGUGGCAGCAGUGAGGAAUAUUUGUCAAUGGGCGCGAGCCUGAUCCAGCCAAGUAGCGUGAAGGAUGACUGCCCUACGGGUUGUAAACUUCUUUUAUAAAGGAAUAAAGUGAGGCACGUGUGCCUUUUUGUAUGUACUUUAUGAAUAAGGAUCGGCUAACUCCGUGCCAGCAGCCGCGGUAAUACGGAGGAGCCGAGCGUUGUCCGGAUUGAUUGGGUGUAAAGGGCGCGUAGAUGGUUUGUUAAGUCAGUUGUGAAAGUUUGCGGCUCAACCGUAAAAUUGCAAUUGAUACUGGCAGCCUUGAGUACAGUUGAGGUAGGCGGAAUUCGUGGUGUAGCGGUGAAAUGCUUAGAUAUCACGAAGAACUCCGAUUGCGAAGGCAGCUUACUAAACUGCCACUGACAUUGAUGCUCGAAAGUGUGGGUAGCAAACAGGAUUAGAUACCCCAGUAGUC